rfam:Mustela putorius furo unplaced genomic scaffold scaffold00167, whole genome shotgun sequence.
GGAUGUGCGGGCGAUCUGGCUGCGACAUCUGUCACCCCAUUGAUCGCCAGGGUUGAUUCGGCUGAUCUGGCUGGCUAGGCGGGUGUCCCCUUCCUCCCUCACCGCUCCACGUGCGUCCCUCCCGAAGCUGCGCGCUCGGUCGAAGAGGACGACCUUCCCCGAUAGAGGAGAGGACCGGUCUUCGGUCAAGGGUAUACGAGUAGCUGCGCUCCCCUGCUAGAACCUCCAAACAAGCUCUCAAGGUUCAUGUGUAGGAGAACGUAGGGUAGUCAAGCUUCCAAGACUCCAGACACAUCCAAAUGAGGCGCUGCACGUGGCAGUCUGCCUUUAAAA